AUAGCAUCAGGCCUCCCAUGCUUUUAACCUCUUUCUCUUCAGUUUUUCUUAGAACACUGAAGUUAAGUUGAUCCAUGAUGACUGACUGACCUUCUUACUUUAAAAUACUUUUAUAAAUACGCUUGUCCGUAAUCUUCCAAUUACUUAAUCAGUGUAUUUUCCAAAACUUGGUAAACAAUAUCAUAGAAUCAUGGAAUCAUAGAAUUGCUAAGGUUGGAAAAGACACACAGGAUCAUCCAGUCCAACCAUUCACCAAUGGUUCUCGCUAAACCAUGUCCCUCAACACAACAUCCAAAUGUUCCUUGAACACCUCCAGGGUCGGUGACUCCACUACCUCUGGGCAGUCCAUUCCAGUGCCUGACCACCUUUUCAGAGAAGUAGUAUUUCCUAACGUCCAGCCUGAAUCUUCCCUGGCGCAGCUUGAAGCCAUUUCCUCUAGUCCUAUCACUAGUCACACGAGAGAAGAGACUGACCCCCAGCUCACUACAACCUCCCUUCAGGUAGUUAUAGAGAGCAAUAAGGUCUCCCCUGAGCCUGCUCUUCUCUAGACUCAACAAUCCAAGCUCCUUCAGCCACUCCUCAUAAGGCCUGUGCUCCAGAACCCUCACCAGCUUUGUUGCCCUCCUCUGGACACGCUCCAGGGCCUUGAUGCCUUUCUUACAGUGUGGGGCCCAAAACUGGAAACAGUACUCGAG
ensembl:lncRNA